rnacentral:rRNA from 1 species
UACGUAGGGUGCGAGCGUUGUCCGGAAUUAUUGGGCGUAAAGGGCUCGUAGGCGGUUUGUCGCGUCGGGAGUGAAAACCCAGGGCUUAACUCUGGGCUUGCUUUCGAUACGGGCAGACUAGAGGUAUGCAGGGGAGAACGGAAUUCCUGGUGUAGCGGUGAAAUGCGCAGAUAUCAGGAGGAACACCGGUGGCGAAGGCGGUUCUCUGGGCAUUACCUGACGCUGAGGCGCGAAAGCGUGGGUAGCAAACAGG